rnacentral:rRNA from 1 species
UACAGAGGUCUCGAGCGUUAGGCGGAAUCACUGGGCUUAAAGCGUGUGUAGGCGGAUGCCUAAGUACCUUGUGAAAUCCCACGGCUUAACCGUGGAACUGCUUGGUAUACUAGGUGUCUUGAGCCACUCAGGGGCGAGCGGAACAAAUGGUGGAGCGGUGAAAUGCGUAGAUAUCAUUUGGAACGCCAAUGGUGAAAACAGCUCGCUGGGGGUGUGCUGACGCUGAGACACGAAAGCCAGGGGAGCGAACGGG